rnacentral:rRNA from 1 species
UACGGAGGGUGCGAGCGUUGUCCGGAAUCAUUGGGCGUAAAGGGCGCGUAGGUGGCCCCUCAAGCGUGCGGUGAAAGUCAGGGGCUCAACCCCUGAUCGGCCGUGCGAACUGGGGAGCUUGAGCACUGUAGAGGCAGGCGGAAUUCCUGGUGUAGCGGUGAAAUGCGUAGAUAUCGUAAGGAAGACCAGUGGCGAAGGCGAAUCUCUGGACAGUUACUGACGCUGAGGCACGAAGGCCAGGGGAGCAAACGGG